UCCUCUAUACAGCUAUGUGAGAAGUUGCUAAAGAACUCAACCUUGACCAUUCUACAGUCAUUUGGCACUUGUAGCAAAACGGAAAGAUAAAAAAGCUCAAUAAGUGGGUGCCUCAUGAGCUGACUGCAAAUCAAAAAAAUUGUCAUUUU